CGCGCGGCUCAGCGGGGGCGGCUUCGCGGCGGGGAAGGGGUACAGCCCGAGACCCCCAGCGACACGACAGCACCGGCGGCCUCGGCGCCGGGUCGGCGGCCAAAGUCGCCGGCAAUACAGAAAAAUGUCUGGUGGUGCCAGAAAACUCUUCACUGCUACAGACCCUUCCCAGCCUGAUCCGUCUCUUCUCCACAGAUCUAUAUGGGUUGCAGAAGAUAUUCAUCAUCUGCCUACCAGCCCUGUGGGAAAUAUACCAAGAGAAUUAUUCCAGACAUUGCUCAUUUCUGCAAAUGGAAGGAGCUGA
rnacentral:lncRNA from 1 species